GAUGAACGCUGGCGGCGUGCCUAAUACAUGCAAGUCGAACGCUGAAGGAGGAGCUUGCUCUUCUGGAUGAGUUGCGAACGGGUGAGUAAUGCGUAGGUAACCUGCCUGGUAGCGGGGGAUAACUAUUGGAAACGAUAGCUAAUACCGCAUGACAACAGUUAUUGCAUGAUAACUGUUUAAAAGGGGCAACUGCUCCACUACCAGAUGGACCUGCGUUGUAUUAGCUAGUUGGUGAGGUAACGGCUCACCAAGGCGACGAUACAUAGCCGACCUGAGAGGGUGAUCGGCCACACUGGGACUGGGACACGGCCCAGACUCCUACGGGAGGCAGCAGUAGGGGAUCUUCGGCAAUGGACGGAAGUCUGACCGAGCAACGCCGCGUGGGUGAAGAAGGUUUUCGGGUCGUAAAGCUCUGUUGUAAGAGAAGAACGAGUGUGAGAGUGGAAAGUUCACGCUGUGACGGUAUCUUACCAGAAAGGGACGGCUAACUACGUG
rnacentral:rRNA from 1 species